CGGGGAUGCAGUGAAUCAUGAAAUGUUGAGCGGGAAGCGCGCAGUUCACUAAAUUGAACACGCACUCAGAUAUAGUGGUUAGGAGAGAGAGAGCAGCAAGCAGCUGCAGAACAAUGGAGACUGAAAGUUCUAAUUACGACUUACAGAGCUUGAUUGAAGCCAUUAAAGCUUCGGAACUUGUUGAGACUCGUAUUCAGCUGAUCCUAAAGCUUGGGGUUGCAGUACCACCUGAUAAAAAUCCAGACGUGGAUGCUCUUCUAGAAUUUCUCAUUACAUUAUGGGAAGGCUUUACAUGUCUGGAUGUGUCACAGUGCUUAUUGAACAAAGCAAUAUUAGAUGUGGCUGCCAAAUACCUAGAAGGAGACCGCUUCAGGGGCCAGGGAAAGUUUCUAACCCUGGGGCCAAGGCCAGCGAGUGGUGUGCAAAGCAUCUGAAGAUGACACUUAUGUCGACUGAUCAUUCUCAAGAAGAGGAGCAUUACAAUGUAUAUUUUCAGUUGCUGUUGGAAUGUUUAAACUUUUCCGUGGUCUGCUUUUUGUUGGUGAUAAAAAACCCAACAUUGGGAGAUGAGCUGCUGAUGGAUGCCUUUGACAAGUUCAUCUUGGAGCACCUGAACUUGAUUAAAGAAUUGAUAUCUGAAUUCAAGAAAAUUCAUUCACUAACAUCAGAAUUACUAAGGGGAGUUGAGUUGGCUCUAGAUUCUAUGAUGAAACUCUGCAAAGUGUAUUCACAAACAGUAAAUUGGGAUCUGUGGAGCCAGACAGCUGUUCAAGAUAGCAGUAGUUUGGAUGGGGAAAGAGCAGUAGAUUUUAAUCAUGUUGUUAAAAUCAUCAAAUUUACUAUAGAGAAGCUUUCUGAACUAGGGACCCUAGCUGCAGAUAGUGGUGGGAGUUUGGUUACUAUUCUGAAUAUGUCAUGGAAAGGUGUUGUUUCUUUGCUUCAGCUUGGAGAAGGAAAAUUAGCAGAGAAGAUUAAUGUAGGAGAUAUCAUAUUGACUCUCUUUUCUCUGGCCACUGACUCAUUAAAAUGUGCAGCUGAAACUUGGUAUUCCUCACUUGAUCAAACUAUAUCAGUUAUCGAAGCAAAAAGAGCAUUUCUUCCAAUUAAAUUUUAUCUGAUCAAUGCAGCUAGGAUAUCUUCUCAGUAUCCACAUCAAGCAUUUUCAGUAUAUCAGGAUGCAACUCUUUGUAUCUUGCUUCUUACAACCUUGAGAGUUACAUUCAGCAGAGAGACCAGUCUGAAAAAUGUCUGUGAAGCUAUGGAAGAACUCUUGAAGCCUACAUCUCUACAUGUUCUGAAGUCUUUACUAAAGUCAGCACAACUGAGUAUAGAUCAGAAACUCAGAAUUCUUGAUUGGUUAUUUGAUGUUGAUAGAGUCUUACCCUCCAGCCAUUCAGAGCAUGACACUGAUAUCCAAAAUGGUUUGUUGGAUGAAAUAUUUUCAGUAACAUGUGAAGCUGUGUCUACUACCAGAGUAAUGUUGCAUGGCCGGGUGACCCUUUUUAUUGACCUACUAAAAGUUUCUUCAGACCUAGAAGAAAAUGUAAUACUUGGGAUCACUAAUAAGCUUCAGUUGUGUUUGGAUGUUUUAGUUGAUGUAGAGGUUUAUUCAUCUGCUUUGGUUUUACUGAUUCCUGCAUCAUUUGGUGAUGGCAAAUCGUUAGUUCUGAAUUGGGAGCCCUUUUUGGUUUCGUUUCUGCGUUCACUAAAGAUCUUUAUGAUAGUUGUCUCUAGAACUCAAGCUUGGAGUGAAAUGGAGUUGUUCCUACUUUAUAAUUUCUUUCAUCCUCACUUUCUUUGCUGGGAGAUCAUAAUGGAACUCUGGUGCUUUUUAGUGGGUCAUGCUGAGGACGCCACAGUUACUGCUGUUAUCGAUAAACUUUGUUCAUUAUACAAGGUUAUUGCCUCUUCAAGCUCCCUUAUGUCUCUGCAUUGCACAUUGAGGAAAAUGGCCAGAUCAUUGUGUCUGCUUCUUGCUUCAUGUACACCAUCCACAGUUGAUAGAGUUUAUAGGUUCAUUAUGAUUGAUGACAAAUCACAUGAUUCUGCAGUAAUGUAUGCAGCAUUGUUGAUGGAAGGUUUCCAGCUGAAUUUAUUGUCAGAUAACUUGAAGAUUGCUGCGACAGAGAGAAUCUUUAGUGAGUAUAUUCACUUUGUUGAUGAUUAUAUUGACAGUCCAUUGAAGUUUUGUAGUGCUGAUGCUGUAAUGCUACCAGCUGUCGCACUUAGCUCUGCUCUGCAAUCAAUGCAAAUUGAUCCGUCCGGAAUUGACAGGAAAACGUUGAAAUUUUUGUCAGUUGUUCUUCAAACUUAUAAGAGGUCUGCAGACAGGAUUACCAAGAACCAUUGUUGCAGGCUUUUAAGUGAAGCACUUGGGAUCAUAUCAACUGCAAAGCAUUUGUAUGGCAAUGAUCAAAUGGAAGACAUAAUUAUCGAGCUAGAAAACAUGUUCAUCUCUGUGCCUACUGGUGGGGAAUCUGAAUUGCAGAAGUGCAAGACAGCUCUAGCUUCAUUCAUGUCUAGUUUGGGUCAUAUGGAAAUGGCAGAGAGUGAUGAUAAUGAAAAGACCAAAGCUGUGUUGCACUUAUAUCACAUGUUGUUAAGAGAGAGACAUUGGGCUCUCCUUCAUCUUGCGGUAUCUGCCUUUGGAUAUUUUGCUGCUCGGACUUCUUGUCAUCAACUUUGGAGAUUUGUCCCAGCAGAUGCAGCUCUGUCAUAUGAUCUAAAAACAGGAACUAAUGCAAAUGAGGAAAGGUUUAUGUCUGAGUUGAAGGUAUUUUUAGAGAAGGAACUAGCUCUUCCUGCAGCAACAGCUUCUACCUCUGAGCAGCUUCAACUUGUUUUGAAGGAUGGCCUUAUUCUAAGAGAGAAAUUUCAAAAGGAUUCAUACCUCAAUGAAGAUGCUACGGGGUAUGAAAGCAUGGUCCUAGGACAUGAAAAUCUAUCCAAUAAAAGGAGGAAACUUCCUGAUGGAUUUAGUAGAGGAAUGGAGUUGAUGCAGAAUGGUUUGAGAACCAUGAAGAAUGGUCUGUCCAUGUGGCAAAAGGAUCAACCUAAUUCUAUUGAGGUUGAUGAUAAGAUAUUGACUCAGUUCUCACGUCUUGAAGAAAUGGUUAAUCAUUUGGCAGGGUUAGCUGAUAGUGACUGAAUCCUCGAGUCUCGAUUUAUGGGGCGUCAGAACUGUACAUCUUGAAAAUAUCUAAAGAAACAGGUGGUAAAUGCUUUGAGACCUUCAUAGUUAGUAUGCUUACUUUUGGUUACUAAUGGGGGAUUGCUAUCCUACUUCUGUCAAGCACAUCUAUUGGAGGUUUGAGGAUGGACAUAACACCUUGAUGACAAGAGCUAGUCAUUUCUCCAUGUUUGUCUACUUGAUGAAUCAAUGGGUGAAUGGACAGAAGCCCUUCAUGGUUGCUACACCAAUCAAUUGACUACAUAUCCGUUUUAUGAUUGGUAAAGAAAAUAUCUGUCAUUUGACUGUUGCUGCACAAAAAUUAAUCGAUGAACUAGCUUUAUUGACCAUUUUUCCAAAUUGAAGGAUCUUCAAGUUCAGUUUAAUCUCAAUUGGAGAGUAGUCAGUUCAAUAUUUGUUCACCAAGCAGCAGACAUCAACUGCUGACUUGUGAUGGUAGUAUAAAGUUGCAUGCGUAGUUGAGGGUUUUCAUGUAAACAGGCAUGUAUCUGUGGGCACCAGACCUGUUGAGUGCAUGACUAGCACUCUAACGAGGAACUCUGUUAAAUUCGAUUGUGAAAAGAGAAUAAUUGGAUAGUUGGCUUCUCUGUGUUUGCUGCGAUAUGACUAUAUGAGAUGCUGCCAAUGAUAGUUUAGUUGUCACGUACGUCAGUACGUCACCUUCAACUCUUAUCAUAAACAAUGAGAUUCUAGGUUUCUUCGGCAGUGCUCUUCAAGUCCCAUGAGAACUUACUAGAAGUUGAACCCAAUGUAAUAUAAAGCAUAAAUUAACACAUACGAACGAUGAAAUGGGCUGACUGCAAACUUAAAUGAGGUGAGAACCAAGUUUUUCACGUUAAGCUUGUUUAUGCAUAGAUCUUGGAUUCUUGGCAUUCAUACCUUUUUGUUAAGAACAAAUUUUGAUUGAAUAUGUUGCAAGAUGUUUGAGCCCUUUGAGCAUACCGAUUCAUUGACACCUUUAGGUUUAAGUUGAAUAAGACUACUAUUCUAUUUCAAUUUAUUUGCAACAUUUACCUUAAAUGAAAAAUAUAAAUUAUUUGUAACAAUUGUUUUCUAUCUCUCCUUAUCAGUUAUCACAUGUAGUUUUAUGUUUCUCUCUUCAUUUACAACUCUCAUAAACAAAUUUUAUGUUUCUCUCUCCAUGCUCACCCUAAUAUUGAUCCCAUUCUAUUUUUUUUUGUUAAUAUCUUAUAUCUUCUUUUUGACACAUCACAUUAUUUUUCUUACACCUCACUUUCCUAUCUCUUUGCCCUCUCCCAUUCUUGUUC